UGUUGCUCAAUAGUGACACAUGAUAUCAACAUCAAGAUUGUGGGCUCCACCCCAAGCGAAAGUACAUACUGAUAAAAUGUAUCGAGUGUCUGCUACAUGUAUAAAUAUGAUUCUUUCUUACCUCAUGCAUCUCAUCAUCUCAUGAAACUGAUAACAUUCUAGCAGAGGAGAAAACACUUCAGGGAAGCCUGUUUGCACGCAGGAUGGAGAUACUUAUUGGGGCUUGCGUCAUGCUCACUCUCAGUAUUGUGCUUGUAGUUGGAUUGAGCGGUGAGUAAAUGUCUUUAGGGAGUACUUAAUACACCCAGAGAUGUACAGUAAUGGAGUACAAGUACUCCAUUAGGUAUUGGAAAUUGCUAUUAAAUUUGAAUAUAUGAGCAUCUCUAUGAGACCUGGUUACAUGAGUACCUGGGUUUACGUGAACACCAUGGAGUAAUGGAGACCAUAUACUUUAGUUUAGAUUAGAUGCAAUUAUGGGACGCCUGCAAGGUGGGUAGGUGAUAUUGUUGAAGGAACCUUAGAAUGUAACCAACAUUUUUUAUUACUAUGUUCCCAAAAAUAGACUCACCUACACCAUUUACACUCGUCAUGUACAACAAAGCGCCAAAAAGUACCAUAGUAUUACCAUGAUGUUUAACCAGAGUACCAUGUAAAUAAAUAUCAUGUUACAUGAAUUCCGGUAUCAUGUAUUUGUGAGGGGUAUUUUAAACCUUGCUUCAAUAUAUAGUUGCAGCUUACAUACAUUAAUUAAUUAAUUAAUUAAUGUCUGUAUGUGUGAUGCCAAAGAACGUCCGUGUUACCUCUAGAUACAGUAUCGUAAAGAAAAAUAUCAUUGAUAUGGUCAUGAACUGAUUUUUGUUAUAACAGUUUAUGAUCCGAAAGGUUUAGCUAGAUGUUACUACCAUUUAUGAAUAAUAAAAAAAAAUUCUUAAAGGAGUUUAUGACUCUAUCAUUAAACAUCAUUGUCAGAUAUUAAUGAAUUCAUUUGGUAAAUUAAUUUUUAAAUAUAAAAAUGAAUCAUUUGGUAUCAGUGAUGUAGCAUCAUUAAAAACAAACAUGAUCUGACGAUGAGCAAAAGUACUCUUAACACUGAUUAACCAAAAGAUUCAUUUAUGAUCUACCGAAGAAGAAAUUUAUAACAUGAGGAUCAGUACAUGAUGAUAAUUUAACAUUUUUGUGUAAAAUAUCCCUUUAACUUUUAUUCUACCUGACACAGACUCCAGCAACCCAACAUUCAUCUAUGCCAUUAUUUUUAUAUUUCAUAAUUUAAUAUCAGUUACUCUGUUUUCAGUUGGGGAUUUUUAUACUUAAUUUUUUUUUUUUUAAUUGUUAUGUAUUUUUAUAGUUUAGGUACUUUAAUUUUACCUGAGUCAAUGUCCAUAAAGGUAUCUUUACUUUUUCUUAAGUAUGAGGAUUGGAUACUAUAUACAACUCAGACACACCCUUAGUAAAGACGAAUUUACACAACUGCAUUGAAUGGGUAACAGAUUAGACUGGAUUAGAUUGCACAAGGAUUUACAAACCUUCAUAAGAUGUCUCCAACUCAUUUACUUUUUUAGUUAAUUGUGUCGCUGUUAUGUCACACUUAAAGAUAAAUGCAUAUAAUGACACGGAUGCUUAUAAUUACCACUUAUCCCACAUAUUUAAUUAUCAUAUUUCCACCUUAGUCAUCUUGAGCUGUGUGGGGUAGUUUCGAUGCGGCUCCUCUGGGUGUGUUAGCAUGUCAGCACAGUGUGAUUGUGAACACGGAGAAGAUGAGCUCAGCUGUCAGCACUUAACAUUAGCCAUUAAUGUUCAGUUGCUGAAUGUUGUUGUUGUUUAUCUGCCUGUGCAGUGUGUCUGAGUGGGAAGAGCUCUGUACUUCAGGUGCUCAUUAAUGGAGUUUGGAGGACUGUUUCUGCUGAGAACUGGGACUCUGAGCUUUCCCUAUCUGCUUGCAAACAGCUCGGCUAUCUAAGCUUGUGGUUCCAGACCUAAGUUGAAUGCUUGUAAAGUUUGCGGUAACCUGUUGGUUGCGGGUCAGUUCCCCUGACAGGUGAGCCUGCACUUUCAGAACGAGCACCUGUGUGGAGGCUCCAUUACAUCCUCUCGCUGGAUACUGGAUACUGGAUACUGCACAUAGUGUAUACGGGUUUUGUGGAGCCUAUUUGUUUGCCGAACUUUGGGGAGAAGUUUGAAGAUGGUAAAAUGUGCUGGAUCUCAGGAUGGGGAAUGCUGUAACUGCAGCAUCUCCAAAACAGGGGCUAUCUGGAACCAGCCAAACAGGACACCUCUGGGGCAAAC